rnacentral:rRNA from 1 species
GACGAACGUUGGCGGCGUGCUUAACACAUGCAAGUCGAACGGAAAGGCCCUGCUUUUGUGGGGUGCUCGAGUGGCGAACGGGUGAGUAACACGUGAGUAACCUGCCCUUGACUUUGGGAUAACUUCAGGAAACUGGGGCUAAUACCGGAUAGGAGCUCCUGCUGCAUGGUGGGGGUUGGAAAGUUUCGGCGGUUGGGGAUGGACUCGCGGCUUAUCAGCUUGUUGGUGGGGUAGUGGCUUACCAAGGCUUUGACGGGUAGCCGGCCUGAGAGGGUGACCGGCCACAUUGGGACUGAGAUACGGCCCAGACUCCUACGGGAGGCAGCAGUGGGGAAUAUUGCACAAUGGGCGGAAGCCUGAUGCAGCAACGCCGCGUGCGGGAUGACGGCCUUCGGGUUGUAAACCGCUUUCGCCUGUGACGAAGCGUGAGUGACGGUAAUGGGUAAAGAAGCACCGGCUAACUACGUGCCAGCAGCCGCGGUGAUACGUAGGGUGCGAGCGUUGUCCGGAUUUAUUGGGCGUAAAGGGCUCGUAGGUGGUUGAUCGCGUCGGAAGUGUAAUCUUGGGGCUUAACCCUGAGCGUGCUUUCGAUACGGGUUGACUUGAGGAAGGUAGGGGAGAAUGGAAUUCCUGGUGGAGCGGUGGAAUGCGCAGAUAUCAGGAGGAACACCAGUGGCGAAGGCGGUUCUCUGGGCCUUUCCUGACGCUGAGGAGCGAAAGCGUGGGGAGCGAACAGGCUUAGAUACCCUGGUAGUCCACGCUGUAAACGGUGGGUACUAGGUGUGGGGUCCAUUCCACGGGUUCCGUGCCGUAGCUAACGCUUUAAGUACCCCGCCUGGGGAGUACGGCCGCAAGGCUAAAACUCAAAGGAAUUGACGGGGCCCCGCACAAGCGGCGGAGCAUGCGGAUUAAUUCGAUGCAACGCGUAGAACCUUACCUGGGUUUGACAUGGAUCGGGAGUGCUCAGAGAUGGGUGUGCCUCUUUUGGGGUCGGUUCACAGGUGGUGCAUGCCUGUCGUCAGCUCGUGUCGUGAGAUGUUGGGUUAAGUCCCGCAACGAGCGCAACCCUUGUUCACUGUUGCCAGCACGUUAUGGUGGGGACUCAGUGGAGACCGCCGGGGUCAACUCGGAGGAAGGUGGGGAUGACGUCAAGUCAUCAUGCCCCUUAUGUCCAGGGCUUCACGCAUGCUACAAUGGCUGGUACAGAGAGUGGCGAGCCUGUGAGGGUGAGCGAAUCUCGGAAAGCCGGUCUCAGUUCGGAUUGGGGUCUGCAACUCGACCUCAUGAAGUCGGAGUCGCUAGUAAUCGCAGAUCAGCAACGCUGCGGUGAAUACGUUCCCGGG